CCUACGGGAGGCAGCAGUGAGGAAUAUUGGUCAAUGGACGCAAGUCUGAACCAGCCAUGCCGCGUGCAGGAAGACGGCUCUAUGAGUUGUAAACUUCUUUUGUACGAGGGUAAACGCAGACACGCGUACCUGUAUGAAAGUAUCGUACGAAUAAGGAUCGGCUAACUCCGUGCCAGCAGCCGCGGUAAUACGGAGGAUUCAAGCGUUAUCCGGAUUUAUUGGGUUUAAAGGGUGCGUAGGCGGUUGGGUAAGUUAGAGGUGAAAUCCCGAGGCUCAACUUCGGAAUUGCCUAUGAUACUGGUCGGCUAGAGAGUAGUUGAGGUAGGCGGAAUGUGUGGUGUAGCGGUGAAAUGCUUAGAGAUCAUACAGAACACCGAUUGCGAAGGCAGCUUACCAAGCUACUUCUGACGUUGAGGCACGAAAGCGUGGGGAGCAAACAGGAUUAGAUACCCCUGUAGUC
rnacentral:rRNA from 1 species